rnacentral:lncRNA from 1 species
ACCUUUUGCAUAAUGAAUUAACUAGAAAUAACUUUGCAAAGAGAACCAAAGCUAAGGCCCCCGAAACCAGACGAGCUACCUAAGAACAGCUAAAAGAGCACACCCAGAGUAAAAAAAUUAACAGCCCAAUAUCUACAAUCAACCAACAAGCCAUUAUUACCCUCACUGUUAACCCAACACAGGCAUGCCCACAAGGAAAGGUUAAAAAAAGUAAAAGGAACUCGGCAAAUCUUACCCCGCCUGUUUACCAAAAACAUCACCUCUAGCAUUAUCAGUAUUAGAGGCACCGCCUGCCCGGUGACAUAUGUUUAACGGCCGCGGUACCCUAACCGUGCAAAGGUAGCAUAAUCACUUGUUCCUUAAAUAGGGACUUGUAUGAAUGGCUCCACGAGGGUUCAGCUGUCUCUUACUUUCAACCAGUGAAAUUGACCUACCCGUGAAGAGGCGGGCAUAACAUAGCAAGACUAU